UUUCCAUCUCUCCACUUCUCCAAAAGAAACGCCAGACAAUCGAUAGAUUGAAUCUCUUUUCAGAACUUCUCCUUCAAGCUUCUUUCUUUCGACCAAUUUGGUGUAAAGCUUUUUGUUUACCGUCUCCUUUUUGGCAGGGGUCACAUCAAUUGCUCAUAGCAGGACGCAGUAGAUGAUGUUGGGAGCACGCCAUUUUUUCCACUGAUCGCUCAUGACAGGAUGCAGUACAUGAUGCUGAGACCAUGCCCUUCUUUUCCACUGACUGCUGAUGACACAAGGUGCUCAUCCUCUCCUAGCAGGUUGCUGCUGAGUAUCUAUGUUGCCAUACCUAAUCACCCAUCCUCUUGAUCUUGUCAUCUAUCGAAACUUAUCUCUAAAGUUCGAAAGCAUGACGAACUUAAGAAUGUGAAGUAGAUGGGGAAGGGAUCGCGUUUGGGGAGCAGCAAUCAACUGCAAAAUUUAAUUGCACGAUAGAGUUUAUCACUACAGAAUAGCUCAUGAUGAACAUAGUCAAAAGAGAACCAUAACACUCCUGUAAUGUAUUCUUUGUGAAUCAGAAGCAGCAAUUCCAAACAG